rfam:Ixodes scapularis strain Wikel colony gcontig_1108379132204, whole genome shotgun sequence.
GCAGUCGUGGCCGAGUGGUUAAGGCGAUGGACUGGAAAUCCAUUGGGGUCUCCCCGCACAGGUUCGAAUUCUAUCGACUGCG